rnacentral:rRNA from 1 species
GAUGAACGCUAGCGGCAGGCCUAAUACAUGCAAGCUGAACGGUAAAUGUUGUAGCAAUACGAUAUGAGAGUAGCGUAAGGGUGCGUAACACGUAUGCAAUCUGCCCGCAACAGGGGGAUAGCUCCCCGAAAGGGGAAUUAAUACUCCAUAAGAUCACGAAAGGGCAUCUGAUUGUGAUUAAACUCCAAGGGGUUGCGGAUGAGCAUGCGUCUGAUUAGCUAGUUGGUGAGGUAACGGCUCACCAAGGCGAUGAUCAGUAGGGGAACUGAGAGGUUGAUCCCCCACCCUGGAACUGAGAUACGGGCCAGACUCCUACGGGAGGCAGCAGUAGGGAAUAUUGGUCAAUGGGUGAGAGCCUGAACCAGCCAUGCCGCGUGCAGGAAGACGGCCUUCUGGGUUGUAAACUGCUUUUGUCAGGGGAUAAAAUACCCGUGCGCGGGGAAUUGAAGGUACCUGAUGAAUAAGCCACGGCUAACUACGUGCCAGCCGCCGCGGUAACAC